rnacentral:rRNA from 1 species
UGGGGAAUAUUGCACAAAGGGCGCAAGCCUGAUGCAGCGACGCCGCGUGCGGGAUGGAGGCCUUCGGGUUGUAAACCGCUUUUGUUCAAGGGCAAGGCACGGUCUUUGGCCGUGUUGAGUGGAUUGUUCGAAUAAGCACCGGCUAACUACGUGCC